GUCUCAAUAGUUUAAAGAAAACACCAGUUUUGUAAAUUGGGAAUGAUCAAGUAUCUUGAGAUA
rnacentral:tRNA from 1 species